GUCAGAGCCCUCACUCACUCUUUGUAUCUUUCUUUCUUUUUCUUUCUGAAAAAUAAAGCCUCGUAUCUCUCUCUCCCUCAUCUGGCUUAUAGCCAUUUCUUCCUCUUUUAUUUAUUUAUUUAUUUUUAAUUUUAAAAUAUGGAUCUCACUUGAGUUGGAGACCCACCAACACCCAGGAACCCCACUUCUGUCACCCUCCGCCUAUUCUUUCAUGAUUGCCUCAUUCAGGGUUACGAUGCUUCAGUGCUGUUGGAUGCUAGCAAUGGCAACAGAAACCAUUCCACUGAGAAGGGCUUCUCCCUUCUCCUCUCUUCUCUCUGGUUUUGAAAAAAAGGGUAUUUUUUUUUCAGGAAUUAGAGGAAGGCCGAUUUUGAAGGCCAAAAAUAUUUUAGGAAUGGUUUUGUUUUGCAACCAAAAUCGUACUUCUCCAUUUUCAAAACUAACUUUAACAUGUAUGGUUUUAGGCAUGUUCUAACAUGUCAAUCUCUAGAUUUUGUAUAUACUGUGCAAUGCGUUCCUUUAACCAUUUGUCACACACAAAUGGUAGUUGUUUUUUAUCAACGAUUUUCAAGCACAUUCCAUUAAAUGAGGUUCUCAUUAAUUUUCAGUUUGAAGUCGUAAUUAACCAGUUUACAUUAUGCGAUGAACAUACUGUAAUUUAUCAACCUACCAUCAAUGAAGAGUUCUUCUCUCC